UACGUAGGGGGCAAGCGUUGUCCGGAAUCAUUGGGCGUAAAGAGCUCGUAGGCGGUUUGUUGCGUCGGCUGUGAAAUCCCGAGGCUCAACCUCGGGUCUGCAGUCGAUACGAGCAAACUAGAGUGUUGCAGGGGAGACUGGAAUUCCUGGUGUAGCGGUGAAAUGCGCAGAUAUCAGGAGGAACACCGGUGGCGAAGGCGGGGUCUCUGGGCAACAACUGACGCUGGAGGAGCGAAAGCCGUGGGGGAGCGAACAGG
rnacentral:rRNA from 1 species